AGUCGAACGGCAGCACGGACUUCGGUCUGGUGGCGAGUGGCGAACGGGUGAGUAAUGUAUCGGAACGCGCCUAGUAGCGGGGGAUAACUACGCGAAAGCGUAGCUAAUACCGCAUACGUUCUCGGGGGAAAGCGGGGGACCUUCGGGCCUCGCACUAUUAGAGCGGCCGAUAUCGGAUUAGCUAGUUGGUGUGGGGUAACGGCUCACUGGGCGACGAUCCGUAGCUGGUUUGAGAGGACGACCAGCCACACUGGACUGAGACACGGCCCAGACUCUACGGGAGGCAGCAGUGGGGAAUUUUGACAAUGGGGGAAACCCUGAUCCAGCCAUCCCGCGUGCGAUGAAGGCCUUCGGGCUGUGUGCUACUUUUGGCAGGAAAGAAGCGGCACGGGAUAAUACCCUCAAGUAACUGACGGUACCUGCAGAAUAAGCACCGGCUAACUACGUGCCAGCAGCCGCGGUAAUACGUAGGGUGCAAGGGGUUAAUCGGAAUUACUGGGCGUAAAGCGUGCGCAGGCGGUUCGGAAAGAAAGAUGUGAAAUCCCAGAGCUUAACUUUGGAACUGCAUUUUUAACUACCGAGCUAGAGGUGUCAGAGGGAGGUGGAAUUCCGCGUGUAGCAGUGAAAUGCGUAGAUAUGCGGAGGAACACCGAUGGCGAAGGCAGCCUCCUGGGAUAACACUGACGCUCAUGCAUGAAAGCGUGGGGAGCAAACAGGAUUAGGAUACCCUGGUAGUCCACGCCCUAAACGAUGUCAACUAGCCGUUGGGGCCUUCGGGCCUUGGUAGCGCAGCGCUAACGCGUGAAGUUGACCGCCUGGGGAGUACGGUCGCAAGAUUAAACUCAAAGGAAUUGACGGGGACCCGCACAAGCGGUGGAUGAUGUGGAUUAAUCACGUAACGCGAAAACCUUACCUACCCUUGACAUGUCUGGAAUCCCGAAGAGAUUUGGGAGUGCUCGCAAGAGAACCGGAACACAGGUGCUGCAUGGCUGUCGUCAGCUCGUGUCGUGAGAUGUUGGGUUAAGUCCCGCAACGAGCGCGCAACCCUUGUCAUUAGUUGCUACGAAAGGGCACUCCCACGAGACUGCCGGUGACAAACCGGAGGAAGGUGGACACCAAGUCCUCAUGGCCCUUAUGGGUAGGGCUUCACACGUCAUACAAUGGUCGGGACAGAGGGUCGCCAACCCGCGAGGGGGAGCCAAUCCCAGAAACCCGAUCGUAGUCCGGAUCGCAGUCUGCAACUCGACUGCGUGAAGUCGGAAUCGCUAGUAAUCGCGGAUCAGUAUGUCGCGGUGAAUACGUUCCCGGGUCUUGUACACACCGCCCGUCACACCAUGGGAGUGGGUUUUACCAGAAGUAGUUAGCCUAACCGUAAGGAGGGCGAUUACCACGGUAGGAUUCAUGACUUGGGGUGAAGUCGUAACAAGGUAA
rnacentral:rRNA from 1 species